UUCAAUGACUGACCAUACUCCACCUUCACCAGCGAAGAAAUAUGGUAACUACCAGAUCCGCGUCCCCUACAAUCACGCAACCAAUCCAGCACCCGGAGCCGCCGCGGAGGUCCUGCAAUCACGCACGCAAAAAGAAAAGAAACUGCCGGCUAUCAAGACACCAAAACAACGCAGAGGAGUCGUCUUUGAUCUCCACCGCCGCGGCGAUUGAUUUCUCCGACUGGGGCUGAGGCGGGGACGGGGAGGAGCGGCUCGCAUCGGUCCCCACGUCGUCCUCCUACUCCUCCUCGGCGACGCUGGUCGGCGCGGCGGACCAGGCGGUAGCCGAGGGCAUGUGGAGACUCCUCCUCCCGGAUCCCAUCCCAACCCCUCCCCUUGCUCUCGAACGUGUCGACUGACAUGGACUCGUGAACGCAAUUUGAGGGCGAGGUGGGCGGUGACGGAGGCAACAGAGAUCCAUGUGAAGCCGCUGCUUUCAGUAGCCCAGGGGAUGUGGCCAAGCUAGCUAACGUUGUCCAAUCUCUCUUCAGAUGCAUGGCUCCGCAGGUACCAGUGUUGGGAAUUGUGGGCUAUGCGGUCUACCCUCUAAUUCUUCUGUCUUUUCCGUGGUGCCGCUCAUAUUGAGUCUAGAGGGUAGGGACCUAUUUAUAGACUCCACUUCCAGGUGUUUUAAUAUUCCACCUGUUUCCGGAAAAAUCCGUGUGACUCCUGAACAAUGUUACCAACCACGAUAAAACAUGUCAGUUUUUCGAGUCUAAAUAUACUAUAGUCCCUAGCACACAUGUGUGAGUCAUGUGCCAUGGUUAGAUUGUAUGUGAGAUCAACUUCCAAUCUUAAUCAUGUGGGUCAACAGCCUGCAGAGCCGAUCCUGCAAAACAAACCCAGCUCUUCCACCCUGUGAUGUCCCAGAAAAUACAUACGUACAUAUAAAAUUCCAGUAGAGUCGAUCCCUAUUAAUUCCUCUAUUGUAUUCCAUCACAGUCGUCCUCGGCAGCUCGAGUAUUAUUUCCUCGAGUGAAAUUCCGCAUCACUUAUUCCCAGUCACAAACAUUAAUAAUAUGAAUAAUUCCACAUUGAGUUAAAUAAAUAAUAACCAUGUUGAAAGCCACAUAAGUAUCCAACAACCAGGACAGGAUCACGCCGGAAAGCAUGUUGUGUACGCCUCCUGGUGCUUGGGGCCAUCCAUCCCUCACUCCUUCCCGUUAGUGUGGCACAUUGGCAUACAAAGAACGGUAAUGUUGUCUACUAAAUCUGCACCCACCAUUCCCUUUUUUGUGCACAUUAAUAUAGUGAGUUGUUUGAACUCUUAACCUUUUGAACUCAGAGAUAGACAGUUUUGUAUGGAAAUGCAGAUUAUUUAUUUUCGCCCCACUAGACUAAUGCGGCUCUGACAUGCAUAGUGUAAAUAGAUGAAUUUGUUCAUGUUUCACAGCACCAACAUCAUUUGAAGAAACGUUUAAGCUGCAUGAUUAUGCUUCUUUAAUUAUGCCAGAACCCUCAUGUUACAUGAAUAAAAUAUUUGUCCUUUUGCAUCAUUACGAUGCACACAGCCAAUUGUUCGGCCUCUUAGGCUUUUUAGUUUGUUAUUAAGUGCUCUUAAGUCAGAAGUUGAAGCUUAUAUCUAGAGUCUAAAUGUUGCAAAUUAUCUUUUUAUAGGUCAAAUAAUCAUACAAACUUGUGCUUUGAAGCCCAAGUUUUCCCUAUAGAUUUCAGACUUUGAUCUUGCAGCUUGUGGUGUCUUUUUACAUAACCUUAGUCCAUGUUGUUUGGUGACAAGUUAGAACUGGGUUGGUAAUAUAGUUAAUAAAUCUACAUUUUUUUAUUUGAAGAAUUUGUUGUUAUUGUGCCUCUAAAGAAAGAAUGACAAUAUUGUUUAUUUUUGUGCGACGACCGAUUCAUGACGCAUACAAAUAUACAUCAUGUGCAUGUGCAUGGCAUGAAAUAGCAACCAAGCUAUUACACAGGUCAAAGAAAUUGCUAAAAAACUUAUGCUACUUAAACUUAAUUUGCUUUUCAUACCUAAUUUGUUUCCCUGUUGGUAUGAAGAAAAUCAUAAUAUGAGUUCGAUAAAGAUAGUGCUUGGCAUGUUAGGCACUUAUUGUUGUGAGCCUUUAUUGUCUUACACGACCAUACAUCUACACUACUAUUAAACAAUCAAACAAGAAUUUUCAUACGUGCACCUAACAAUUAGGCCCACGAUACCGCAUGAACCGAUCAACACCAUACGAUUAGUCCCACAUAUCUUAAUCUAACAGCCAUCAUUGAUUUAAUAAAUCUCUGGUGUACACUUAGCAAUUUUCAACGACUGACCAUACUCCACCUCCACCAGCGAAGAAAUAUGGUAACUACCAGAUCCGCAUCCCCUACAAUCACGCAACCAAUCCAGCACCCGGAGCCGCCGCGGAGGUCCUGCAAUCACGCACGCAAAAAAGAAAAGAAACUGCCGGCUAUCAAGACACCAAAACAACGCAGAGGAGUCGUCUUCGAUCUCCACCGCCGCGGCGAUGGAUUUCUCCGACUGGGGCUGGGGCGGGGACAGGGCGGAGCGGAUCGCAUCGGUGCCCACGUCGUCCUCCUACUCCUCCUCGGCGACGCUGGUCGGCGCGGCGGACCAGGCGGUAGCCGAGGGCAUGUGGAGACUCCUCCUCCCGGAUCCCAUCCCAACCCCUCCCCUUGCUCUCGAAUGUGUCGACUGACAUGGACUCGUGAACGCAAUUUGAGGGCGAGGUGGGCGGCGACGGAGGCAAUAGAGGUGCGUUGCCGCCGGCGACAUCUGGGCAUCGUCUCUGGUGAAUCUCUUUCUGAUGGAUCCAAGGACGUACCUCUAACUGGUCAUGUCUCUUCCUUCAAGAAGAUCCAUGUGAAGCCGCUGCUUUCAGUAGCCCAGGGAAUGUGGCCAAGCUAGCUAACGUUGUCCAAUCUCUCUUCAGAUGCAUGGCUCCGCAGCUACCAGUGUUGGGUAUUGUGAGCUAUGCGGUCUACCCUCUAAUUCUUCUGUCUUUUCCGUGGUGCCGCUCACAAUGCAUAUUGAGCCUAGAGAGUAGGAACCUAUUUAUAGACUCCACUUCCAGGUGUUUUAAUAUCCCGCCUGUUUCCGAAAAGAUCCGUAUGACUCCUGAACAAUGUUACCAACCACGAUAAAACAUGUCAGUUUUCCGAGUCUAAAUAUACUAUAGUCCCUAGCACACAUGUGUGAGUCAUGUGCCAUGGUUAGAUUGUAUGUGAGAUCAACUUCCAAUCUUAAUCAUGUGGGUCAACAGCCUGCAGAGCCGAUCCUGCAAAACAAACCCAGCUCUUCCACCCCGUGAUGUCCCGGGAAAAUACAUACGUACAUAUAAAAUUCCAGUAGAGUCGAUCCCUAUUAAUUCCUCUAUUGUAUUCCAUCACAAUCGUCCUCGGCAACUCGAGUAUUAUUUCCUCGAGUGAAAUUCCGCAUCACUUAUUCCCAGUCACAAACAUUAAUAAUAUGAAUAAUUUCAUAUUGAGUUAAAUAAAUAAUAACCAUGUUGAAAGCCACAUAAAUAUCCAACAACCAGGACAGGAUCUCGCCAGAAAGCAUGUUGUGUACGCCACCUGUGCUUGGGGCCAUCCAUCCCUCACUCCUUCCCGUUAGUGUGGCACAUUGGCAUACAAAGAACGGUAAUGUUGUCUACUAAAUCUGCACACACCAUUCCCUUUUUUGUGCACAUUAAUACAGUGAGUUGUUUGAACCCUUAAACUUUUGAACAUGGAAUUCGAGAAGCUGCAGAAGAUACAUGAUGCAUGUUAUUGCAACAUUGAUUCUUUGCUCCAUUUAUUAGCACCUUAUGAUUUAUGAUUCCCAACAAAGCCGAACGAGAUUGCUAAAUGUUUGUUUUCUAAUGAUAUUCAAAAAACGUGAGAUAUUGAUUUUAACUUUGUGUCAACCAUUAAGGAGCUUCUAAUAUGUUUAUAUUUGCAUUAGUCGAGACACCCAUUGCACAUAUAAUCUUAUUAUUUUAAUAAUUGUCUGAUGACGGUGUAGACGUACGUUGCACGUGCAAACUUACUAGUGGUGCCAAGUCGUGCGUUUAGCCGCCGCUACAUGUUGCCUGCUGGUACUCGCUUUGGAUUUUGUCUUUUCAAAGUGUUUUUGGGCUUUAGAUGAGUCUUUUUUUGGAUUUUUCAGCUUAGUUUUCGCCUGGUUUUCAAUGGAUUUUGGAGAUUUUUUUGCGCGAAAUUUUUGUAUGCUUCUAUGAGAAGCACAU